UACGUAGGGGGCGAGCGUUGUCCGGAGUUACUGGGCGUAAAGGGCAUGCAGGCGGUCGGACGCGUUUUGUGUGACAGCGCAGGGCUCAACUCUGCGAGCAUACGAAAGACGGUUCGACUUGAGGGCUCGAGAGGGACACGGAAUUCCGGGUGGAGUGGUGAAAUGCGUAGAGAUCCGGAGGAACACCGAAGGCGAAGGCAGUGUCCUGGCGAGUGACUGACGCUGAGGUGCGAAAGCCAGGGGAGCGAACGGG
rnacentral:rRNA from 1 species